UUCAUUUUUCAUUCAUAAUAAAAAUAAUAUUCAAUAAUUUACAAUGAGAAUCAAAAUAUUUAAUUACUAAACUAUCUGUAUUCGUUUUUUAAUGACACUAAUUAAGUUGUAUUAUUUGUUUUGGAGUUCCGCUAAGAAAUUCACAGCCAUCUUCGUAAAAAAUUAAAACAUGGAAAUGGAACACCUAUAUAUAACUAAGUUUUUCAAAGCCUACCAUGAAAACAAAGUUAGAACAUUUAUCUGUAAAACUAAACAUGUUUUAUUGGCUAUAAGUAUUCAUCGCAAUGCAAGGUCAUGAAGGCAUUGAAUUUUCAGAAAGAAAAGUACUUGUAACUCAUAAACAGGUGACUUUAGGUAUAGGGAAUUCUCACAAAAAUUGAAUCUCUUUUUUAUUCCGCAUCCGAUAACUUAUUCAAAUGAAAGAGAUUGUAGUUUGUUGUUAACAGAAUUCAGCGCUUUAUAUCGAGCACCCUGUAUAUUUCUGAGCUAUUUAUUUUCAUCAAAGCAAUAUUGGGAUUAAAAGUACUUAGUUUUUAAAAAACCACAGCCGACGUUUCACCCAGGUUGUUGGAUUUUCUCAAGACUAGUUUUACGUAGUUAAAAAUGUAAUGCUGAUAGAUUUGGUUAAGUGGUACAUACAUUAAGAUCAACAAUCAUUAAAAAAAUUACUCAGAACUUUCUAUAAAUGCGUGGUCAUUUUUUUCCUGAUCAAUAUCGCACCAACAAAAAAUGAGAUCGACUUCUUUGAGGUGCCGAUCGAAGCGUAUUAACAGCAAUAUGAUCCAAAAACAAUUAUGUAACAUUCGGUGGAAUCGUUUUUUUGUUUAACCAAAUAGGCUGGAAAGUCGUAAAUUCUGGAAAUUUGUGAAAAAUAUUUAUCUCAUCUUCUUGGUUCUGAUUUAACUCGAUAUUUUGAAAUAAAUCAGAUAAUUUUAUUCAGUACUAGAAACUGUAUAUCUGUAUUGGCAAUUGGUAAUUUGCAUUUUCACUUUUUCAACGCGAGUGCCACCCAACUCAUUCGAGGUGGGCCACCGAUUCCCAUUUCAUUCCCCUUUCCGCCCAAUGCUUCCUUUCCUAUACCCAUUCCCCUUCCCGCUCCCAACUUCUUCCCAUUGAACCUUCCCUGGAAUGUAUAACCUCCGGGUUGAGGGGUUUUAGUCGGUAGGCGCUUCGGCGAAUCCGACGCUAGGACCUUAAGGGUCGCAAAAGUAACGCGACCACACCACGGCUUGUUAUUCUAAUCGUACGACGUCUUAUAAUAAUUUUAAUGUUAAUUAAUUAGUUAAUUAGUUUUAUUUAUAAAAAAAAAAUGAGUAUUUUUUGUUAAUGGUCGUUGAUCUAAAAGCUUGUACCACUUAACCAAAUCCAUCAGCAUUACAGUUUUAAGUUUACAAAAUUAGCUUUGAGACAGUCCAACAACCUGGGCAAAACAUCGGCUGUGGUUAUAAAUAAAGUAUUCUUAACCCCUUUAUUAUAUAACUUUGCUGUAUUUACUACAGAGCAUGUAGAAAUUUGAUUCCAGGAACAUUUUAUUAACACCCAAAAAAUACAAACUUUUAAUGUGGCUCAAGUUUUCAGUAGGACAUGGUAUUCAUCAGAAGUUUGAAAGAAACGGGUACGAUUAAACGUUGGUCGCACUUUAGUGAUACGAUACGUUUGGAAAUACUCCACACAAGUGUGUGUGAAUUAACCGGAUUACUAUUAACAUACACCCGACACUAGGUCAUUGGGUUAUCAUCUCAUCCAAUACAACAGUAGCCUUCAAUAGACUUUACUUUUACAGAAGUGUCUACAGAUUAACCAAUGUAAAACACAGGUUAGGUUAGGUUCAUCAAGUGGAACAGACAUAUAUUAAUG
rnacentral:lncRNA from 1 species